GGCUGAGGUACUCAGUGUUCUUUUCACCUUGUUUAUCACUCACUGAUAAGCUUUGUCCUCUGGCAACCACCUCUGAGGUGUUUGAACUUCCUGGCAGUCUGAGGGAGUGAAACUGUACAGCAGAAGCUGAUGGAAUUAGUGGGAGCUUCAGCUGAUUAGCUAUACAUGAGUCCCUAUGACCAGAUGGGAGGAAUCCAAGGAUGCCAGAGGACCUGGCCGAUGUCACUGAUCACAGUGGAAUGACAAAAAAAAAAAAAAAAGGCAAAUGUCACAGCCAUCCUCAGGAAGGGUGAGAACGAGGACUGGGAAGCUAGAGACUGGUCAACACCACAUUGGUCCAUGGAAAGGUGAUAGAACAAAUCCUCUUACAAGCCAUAUCCAAGCGCAUGAAGGACAAGAAGUUGAUUGGCAACAUGAAUUUACUGAGGACAAAGUCUACCCUUCCACCUUGAAUGCAUCCUGUGACGUUGUGACUGUCUCUGUCGAUGAAGAGUGAGAAGUGGACAUCAUGUUCCUAACUUAAAUAUGUGUGGAGCCAUACCCAUGUAUUUUGGAGACGUAACCACGUUGAGACCUAUGUUUUCCCCCUUCUGUGAUUCUGAAGAGCUUCUACAGUGAUUCACUGUCAAAAUGGUGGCAAAUUUUGUACAAAAGACUUCUUCAGCUACAGGAGGCCAAAAGCUGAGCAGCAGAUAUCCAUGACACAACUUCAUGAAAAAGAUAAACACAGUGUAGAAGUAUAAAGAAGAUUAUCUUCAAUUAGAGGAAGGAAUCCCUCCUCCCUGCUCUUGUGUUAGCAAAGCUGGAGUAUCCUCAGUGUAUCAGGAACUGAUCUGGCUCAUUUAAAGAAAGGCCAGGGGAGUACAGUGAGAAGAAUCACCAGUGUAACCUCCCUCCUAUGACUUUCAGGUAAACAGCACACAGUUUAGCAUUGUUUAGCCUAAAGCUGAUGAAGUUGAUGUGGAAUGUAAAAGCCACAGAUGCACAGAAGCUGGAAGGCAUGCUUUCCACACCAGUCAAUUGACAGAAGAAGUUGUAGGACCGAGACUUAAGGAAAUAAUGUCGGAGUAGAACAGGAAGAGCCUAGUCUGGUUUUACACACACCAAUUAUUGGUAGUAAUCCAUCUCACCAGACCCACGUCUAAAUGAAAUGAUCUAAGUACAGCUGAUGUUGAUUUGGGACAAGAUUUUAGUUUCUCAAAUGCAAAAGCAAUUUCACAGACUGAAUGUCACUGAACAUGUUCAAGGUAACUUCCCCAGCAGUUCCAUCAACCACUUCUGAGUUAUAUUUAUAUAUGCCAAUUUUCAGCAUCACUUUGAGAUUUUACACCUGAAACGGGUUCAUUUUUAUUUGUCUGAUGCACAUUUCCAGCCAGCAGCCUGGAGGCUGAAGAGGAUUCAAUCCACAAUUGUUCUUCAGAAAGCACACAAACUGAAUAAAUGUUUAUAACCCCAAAUGGUGUCACGGCAGCAGAUGAAUGGCAGCAGAACAAUGGGCAUCGCUGCACUCUUCAGGCUGCAGCCAAGUUCCCUAGCAACUACAUAGGAGCUGUGCAGCCUGCAGAGGUACUGUGAGUGCCAGCAGGCCGUUAUCUGAGAAAUGACUGAGAAAUGAUCUUAGUGCCGUAUUUCAUUGAGGAGAUACCAUUAAUCAAUUGCCUGCUUGUAAUUCACAGAUACCACUUUCUCCCUUUGGGUAAACUAUUAGUGAAGUCUUUCCUGCCCAACACUUCAAUAUGUUGUAGGGGAUUGUGAAUUGUUCUUUACACACAUCUGGAAGUAGAUGGCAACAUGUAACUUUACUUCUACCUGGACAAACGCUGCUUUCAGUCUGAUUUGACUAGGAGACUUUCCGUUGACCCGCUGUCUGUCUUCUCCAAGUGUCCUCAGUCAGUAAUUCGACCUGAGAAGUUGCAGUUUCCCAUAGGAGCCAUGCAGACCUUGAGGUGUGGGAAACAAAGCCUGAGCACCCUGCUGCGGUUUGGAAGGCUGCGUGCUUCCUCCUCCUCCUCCACAUGUCGGUGAAACAGCCCUGAAAGUCGGUCCUGGCCUCGAGAGCAUACCUGUGUCAAAAGCAAAGCCCUCGUCACUGUUUCCAUGCUUUGAGACAUCUUUAAAUGCAUGACACUCAAUGUCCUCUGCAUACAUUUGGACAUACUGUUAAACGCACUGUCUACUCGUAAGUGCAUGGAUCACUGUGUACAUCUUAGAAGCCAGAAGAAGGAUUCGCUUUGAAGUAUUUCAUGUUUGGAACAUAAGUAGCUCUGUUCUACCCAAGGAAUUGAAAUAAUCAAGGAACCUCUGAAUUUAUGAAGAUUAAUUUGAAAAUCCCCACCACGUGUGUCUACAGCCAAAAUUUUCACGAAUGUGUAAACCUGUGGAAUCCAUGAAGCUUAUCUGGAAACCAGGAGGCUUUCUUCUAAGUCUUUUGGGACAUUUUUUUUCUUGCAAGGUGUGUUGGAAAACCCCAAGCACUGCUUUUCUGCUCCUAUCUUAGAUCUUCCCCUUUACUUUGCUGGAGUUGGGUAUCUGUCAUCUGUCAUGAGUAGCUGAGCUCAGAGUUCACUUUUGUCAUGCUGCUCAGUUCAGCCUUUUCAUUGUUUUUUGGCUUGUGUUGACAACAGAGGUUCAACAUUUCUGAAGAAAGCAAAAGAUGUUUGUAAACUUCGGAAACAGAUGGAAAAUUAGCAUAUUGUUAAGAACUAUGGCUUAGAGUGUACAAAAAUCGUAUUUGGCAUUACAAUAUCAAACAAAAAUAAACAUCCCAUUGAUGGCUUUC